rnacentral:rRNA from 1 species
CCCCGGUAAACGGCGGCCGUAACUAUAACGGUCCUAAGGUAGCGAAAUUCCUUGUCGGGUAAGUUCCGACCUGCACGAAUGGCGUAAUGAUGGCCAGGCUGUCUCCACCCGAGACUCAGUGAAAUUGAACUCGCUGUGAAGAUGCAGUGUACCCGCGGCAAGACGGAAAGACCCCGUGAACCUUUACUAUAGCUUGACACUGAACAUUGAGCCUUGAUGUGUAGGAUAGGUGGGAGGCUUUGAAGUGUGGACGCCAGUCUGCAUGGAGCCGACCUUGAAAUACCACCCUUUAAUGUUUGAUGUUCUAACGUGGACCCGUAAUCCGGGUUGCGGACAGUGUCUGGUGGGUAGUUUGACUGGGGCGGUCUCCUCCUAAAGAGUAACGGAGGAGCACGAAGGUUGGCUAAUCCUGGUCGGACAUCAGGAGGUUAGUGCAAUGGCAUAAGCCAGCUUGACUGCGAGCGUGACGGCGCGAGCAGGUGCGAAAGCAGGUCAUAGUGAUCCGGUGGUUCUGAAUGGAAG